UCUCUCUCUCUCUUUGAAAGUAUGAACCUAUAAAUAAACAAGAGCUACAUCAAUCUCAUUAGAUACUACCAAGCUACAUUGCAUUUUCAGCCAGAGAAAGGGGAAGCGAUAUCACCAGAGUGCUUUGCUUGAUUAAGAGACACAGAGAAGAGAAGAGAAAGAGAUGCCGCCACCUGGACCGGGAGGCCCACCGGGCUUUGGUUGCUUAGGCGCCCUCUGUAGCGGUAUAUGCCGCCUUUUAUCAUCUUGUGCUUAUGUCCUGUGCUGCUGCUGCCUGUUUGAGAGCUGCUGUGGACCCAUGUUUGGUGGGGGAUUUGGCGGUCCUGGUGGUCCCGGUGGUGGACCUGGUGGACCCGGUGGUGGACCUGGCGGGCCCCCUCGCUUUUGAAUAUGAGCUGGCUGCUGCUGCUGCCUGUGAUCUUCUGCAUAAUGUUGAGUUUCAAGUUCAAUAUGUAAUAACAAGUGUGAGAUGUUGGCAUGUUGCUGCUGUUUUUGCAACCUGCAACUCAAUAUUCUCCCUAUUUUAGCCCAUAUUUGUGUUUAUUUUGCAAUUUAUUUUUCAUUUGUUUUUGUUUUUUGAGCAGAAUUAAUUAGUAUUAAUGUUAUAUAUUUUGUAACCUUUGUUUACCAGAUGAUCCACCAUCCAUGACAAUUAAAUAAAAUCUCUUCCUUUUUUUCCCCAUUAUGAUUCAUGAAUAUAUAUAUAUAUAUAUAUCUCUUCCUAACCUAAAGCUAUUAAGCUAAAUAAUCAUUUAAAACUUACUUCUUUUAAUAAGAAAUUUAAAGGUUACAUAUUAAUUUUGGUGGGGGUGGCUGGUGGGUUCUUUACUUACCUUUCCUUACCUACCAGUCACUCCAAUAUAAAUAAAAUAAAUAAAGGCCUAACUAGAAACUUCUUGUACAUUCCAUUAAUUCCAAACCGUCUUCCCUUCCCUGCACUGCAACUCUAUAAAAAUAUGCACUUCUAGUGAAUUAGAGAGAGACAGAGAGAGAGAGAGUGAGAGAUGCCGGGUUGGGGACCGCCGCCGGGAGGACCUCCAGGGCCGGCAGGGCCAUGUGGCUGCUGUGCUUUCUGUUGUGAUGGAAUUUUCAGGCUUUUUUCUUCAUGUUUCUAUCUCUUGUGCUGCUGUUGCAUCCUAGAGAACUGCUGUGGACCUAUGUUUGGUGGGCCACCUGGACCCCCUGGCCCACCUGGCGGGCCCCCUGGACCUCCCCCGCCUUGGUAGAUAGAUCAUGUGUGUGACAUAUCGAUCACGAGUACAUUUAUGCAUAUACCAUAUAUCAACCUAGCUACCUACUUGAAAUUUGAGAUGAUGUUGUAUUAAUUUGUUGAAACAAUCGCUUCCUAGGUAUUUCACUGUUUGCCCUCUUUUAUGCUUAUUCUGUGUGUAAACAAGUUGUUGCUUUAGGGUUUUCUUUAUGCCAUUCUAGUUUUUUUUUUUUCUUUCUACUGUUAUGGUAUUUAUGACUUGGGUUUGUAUUAGAGUUAAAUGAUUAUGAACCCAAAAAGGACGUAAUUUUGACCGUUUAAAA